ACACAGUAACACAGGUAACACACAGUAACACAGGUAACGCACACACAGGUAACGCACACACAGGUAACGCACACACAGUAACACAGGUAACACACAGUAACACAGGUAACACACACACAGGUAACACACACACGAGCCUGAUUGGUCGAGCAGAUGUGAUGUAAUCUUUGCCACAACUUUUCCUGGGCGUUUAAAUGUGUAAGAGGCAACAUGAAGUCAUCCUGCACACUCUUCAGCGUCACCUCCUCCUCUUCAUCACACUCUUCAGCGUCACCUCCUCCUCUUCAUCACACUCUUCAGCGUCACCUCCUCCUCUUCAUCACAUGUAAACGACUCUGCCACCAAACACGAGUUAAAAUGAGGUUUGUCGUCUGUUUAAAGACGUUAAUCUGAAACAUCCAAGAACCUCGACGACUCACAGGUUCUUCAGAGUUCUGGUUCUGAGGAGAACCAGAACCAGGUCUCAGGCUGUCCGCUCCAGCAGCAGUAAACUGAGCUUUCUGAGGAUUUAUGUGCAAACUGAUCGUGCGUCAUGAACUUGAAUGAUUAGUGUCCUCUGAGUGGCUGAUUCCUGUGACAUCACUUGACUGACAGCUGAGUGCGGAUGUUGCUAGGAGACGAGCUUAUUACGAUCCUAAAACACUGACGCAAGUCUUUGUGUGGACGUUUCUCAGAGUGUGUGAGACAGGACGGCCUGUCUUCCUGCUGAAAACUUUCCAUUCAUCAACACACACACACACACACACACACACACACACACACACACA